rnacentral:rRNA from 1 species
CCUACGGGUGGCAGCAGUGAGGAAUAUUGGUCAAUGGGCGCAAGCCUGAACCAGCCAAGUCGCGUGAGGGAUGAAGGUCCUAUGGAUCGUAAACCUCUUUUAUAAGGGAAUAAAGUGCGGGACGUGUGCCGUUUUGUAUGUACCUUAUGAAUAAGGAUCGGCUAACUCCGUGCCAGCAGCCGCGGUAAUACGGAGGAUCCGAGCGUUAUCCGGAUUUAGUGGGGUUAAAGGGUGCGUAGGGGGGCUUUUAAGUCAGUUGUGAAAGUUUGUGGCUCAACCCUAUAAUUGCCGUUGAUACUGGCAGUCUUGAGUAUGUUUGAGGCAGGCGGAAUUCGUGGUGUAGCGGU